GGUGUUGUGGCUCAGUGGUAGAGUGCUCACCUAGCUCAUGUGAGGCACUGGGUUCGAUCCUUAGCACCA
rnacentral:tRNA from 1 species